UUAAACAAUCUAGUAAUUAUUUAUUUAUCGAAUACAUGAACAUGUUUUAAUAUAAACAUAACUGUUUACAGUUAAAAUAAAAUGCGUAUAUCUAAAUAUAAUUGUCAUUUUUAAAAACUCAUUAAAUAUGUUAUAGAUUUUACAAAUCUCCUUUUUUAAGUAGAUCUGGGCAGUUGUCUAUUACAUCCAUUAUAGUAAUAAAUCACACACAAAAAAAACAAUGCAAAAAAA